GCCAGGCAUGGUGGCGGGUGCCUGUAAUCCCAGCUUCUCAGGAGGCUGAGGCAGGAGAAUCUCUUGAACCCAGGAGGCAGAGAUUGCAGUGAGCCAAGAUCAUGCCAUUGCACUCUAGCCUGGGUGACAGAGCGAGACUCUGUCUCAA
ensembl:misc_RNA Metazoa_SRP Metazoan signal recognition particle RNA